AACGAACGCUGGCGGCAGGCUUAACACAUGCAAGUCGAGCGCCCCGCAAGGGGAGCGGCAGACGGGUGAGUAACGCGUGGGAAUCUACCCAUCUCUACGGAAUAACGCAUGGAAACGUGUGCUAAUACCGUAUACGUCCUUCGGGAGAAAGAUUUAUCGGAGAUGGAUGAGCCCGCGUUGGAUUAGCUAGUUGGUGGGGUAAAGGCCUACCAAGGCGACGAUCCAUAGCUGGUCUGAGAGGAUGAUCAGCCACACUGGGACUGAGACACGGCCCAGACUCCUACGGAAGGCGGCAGUGGGGAAGAUUGGACAAUGGGCGCAAGCCUGAUCCAGCCAUGCCGCGUGAGUGAUGAAGGCCCUAGGGUUGUAAAGCUCUUUCACCGGUGAAGAUAAUGACGGUAACCGGAGAAGAAGCCCCGGCUAACUUCGUGCCAGCAGCCGCCGUAACAC
rnacentral:rRNA from 1 species